rnacentral:piRNA from 1 species
AUUAUUAUCAACAUUUGAGGAGUCCAA